rnacentral:rRNA from 1 species
CCUACGGGGAGCAGCAGUGAGGAAUAUUGGUCAAUGGACGAGAGUCUGAACCAGCCAAGUAGCGUGAAGGAUGACUGCCCUAUGGGUUGUAAACUUCUUUUAUAUGGGAAUAAAACGUUCCACGUGUGGGAUUUUGUAUGUACCAUAUGAAUAAGGAUCGGCUAACUCCGUGCCAGCAGCCGCGGUAAUACGGAGGAGCCGAGCGUUAUCCGGAUUUAUUGGGUUUAAAGGGAGCGUAGGUGGAUUGUUAAGUCAGUUGUGAAAGUUUGCGGCUCAAUCGUAAAAUUGCAGUUGAAACUGGCAGUCUUGAGUACAGUAGAGGUGGGCGGAAUUCGUGGUGUAGCGGUGAAAUGCUUAGAUAUCACGAAGAACUCCGAUUGCGAAGGCAGUUCACUGGACUGCAACUGACACUGAGGCUCGAAAGUGUGGGUAUCAAACAGGAUUAGAUACCCCGGUAGUC